CGGGUGAGUAAUGCGUGACCAACCUGCCCCAUGCUCCAGAAUAGCUCUUGGAAACGGGUGGUAAUGCUGGAUGCUCCAACUUGACGCAUGUCUUGUUGGGAAAGUGUUUAGUGGCAUGGGAUGGGGUCGCGUCCUAUCAGCUUGUAGGCGGGGUAAUGGCCCACCUAGGCUUCGACGGGUAGCCGGCCUGAGAGGGCGGACGGCCACAUUGGACUGAGAUACGGCCCAGACUCCUACGGGAGGCAGCAGC
rnacentral:rRNA from 1 species